AUAUUGGUAAAAAAAAAACGCAUGGGGGUCAAUUUUGUAAACAAAUGACAUGAGCUUUAGAAAAAGGCCCGAUUUACGACCUGUAUCCCGUUUUUUAAAAAGCAUGUAAGUCUUUUGGUUUACAUGCCCUGCAAUGAAUUUUCAAUAUAGUAGCAGUAAUAUAGUUUCCAAUAUUCUAGAUGCAAUAUUCAAAGCAGUACUCGAAUUUUCUCAGAGAAUAUAAACAUUCAUGUAUUUAGUUGUAAAUAAAGCAUUGAUAUUUUUUCAGCCCAUUAUGGGAGAGGCCUACUUUUCGAUACCCUAUAUAUCGCCCUGGAAACCCCCAAACCCGUCUUUUUCUGCCUCAGUUUUGGAUGAAGAUAAUGCGAGAUGAACGGAACAAAUCUCCUCCUAACUCGGUUCAAUUUGAAGUCCACAGAGAGUAAGAUUGAUUGUUUUCUUUGUGUUAAAGUCUGAAGAUUUUACAAAAAUCUGCCUUUCACUUUUCUUUUAAAUAUGCUUCAAAAAGUAGAUUCCAUAUAUAUAAACCAGUGAAAAAUUACUCCUUCUCAUUUCACAGUAUUCUGGAGCUUUAUCAACUUAAGCCAUUAUGUUUUGUUUUUGGAUUUUUAGAAUGACUAAACAUGAUAUCAGAGAAUAUCUGGAGAAGAUCUAUGAAGUUAAGGUGCUGAAGAUCAGAACAUUUACCAUUGAAGGUAUAGACAUUAAGCUGUAUUCAAUCAAUAAGUGAAGUAAGGUAAAACAGUGACAACCACAUGUAUUAAUAACCAAAGGAAGGUGAACUUUAAGAUACUGUACAUUCCUAAUUAAUUGCGAGGAAUUAAUUUCCGCAUAAAAUCGCGAGAAGCAACCCUCAUGGAUUUUAAAACCUCACUUUCAGACAGUUUUGAACUACGUGUAUAGGAAAUUAUAACAAAAAAUUGGUGAUCGCAAUUUGAUACAAAACAGCGGAAUUGAGGAAUUAAGUACUCUCAUAAAAUAAGGAGUUUACAGUAUAAUCAGGGUUUUUUUUAUGUGACUUUUAUCACAGCUUCAAUUGUUGAAAAUAUUAACGGAAACCACCUCCUGAACAAAAGCUUGACAAUUGGUCAAAUCUGACUGUUAGCUGCAACACGUUUUCAAGUUAUCAAUGACUAAGUCUGUGUGGUCUUUUUAUGUCAUCUAACAAUUGUGUAUGAAGCUGAUACGAGUACACACGUUUUCAAGUUAUCAAUGACUAAGACUGUGUGGUCUUUUUAUGUCAUCUAACAAUUGUGUAUCAAGCUGAUAUGAGUACACACGUUUUCAAGUUAUCAAUGACUUAGACUGUGUGGUCUUUUUAUAUCAUUUAACAAUUGUGUAUCAAGCUGAUACGAGUACAAACAAUUUGAACUAUUUAUCUGUUAUCUGUAUCACUGAGGACAAGGGCCACUUUAAGAUGAGGAGAAAUAACACAUUUAUGACUAACCCAAGAAAAAGGGGGUCAGCCUGUAGGUCUUUAGGCUUGGUGACCUUGAAGAUCAAUCACUCAGUUUGAUUAAAAUCAUGUCCAAGGUCAUAAAGUUAGACGAGCUCACUUUUGAUCUCAGUCUCACUUUCCCAUUCCUUUUGUAAAAGUGAGACUGAAAUCAAAAGUGAGCUUGUCAAAGUUUUAUGGACCUGGGGCCAGAUCCUUUGAUCUGCUCAGGUAGUAAUUGAAUAAUGCAUAGAGCUAUAUAGCUCAAAGGCAUGUUUAAUUCAAUUUAAGUUUGAGUUGAUAUUCCAGAUUUUCGUAACCAGGAAGCAAUUCAUCCUGUUGCACUACAAAAACAAUAUGGCACUAUGAUGAGCGUGUUAAAUUGUACCGUCUACCAAAAAUCUAGUAGUUACUGACGAUGAAGCGUGUGGUUUCAUAAAAGUAAUAAAGGUGCAAAAAGUAAAACAAAAGUAAUUCUAGUUUAUGGAAAGAUAUACCGUACAUGUAAUUUCUUGGUAAAUGCUUGCUUUGGUUUGUUUUAGGCAAGGAUGCCCUUGAAAGGGCCGCGGAUGAGCCCUGGCUGAGGACCACUUUCUCCACCACAGACUUCGACAGAAGGUUUGCCUUUGUCACACUGGUAGGCAGUUCAGACUCUUCUGAUACAUGACUGAAUAGUUUUCUUUCGAAGUGAAUUGCCAAUGAAAAAAAAAGUUUAAUUAUAAACAAAGAGCUUAAGGAACAGAUUUUUGAAUAACUUCUAGAAAGUUAUUAUGUAAGGAACUAAGGUAUCUCAGGAUAAGGAAUCUUCUAUGUUAUUUCAGUAACCUGUGUAGCAUUACUCUCAGUUGUGAUUGGAUCUUUAUUGUAGAAGGACAGCACAUUUUACUUCCCAGAUAUUGCAAAAGGAUAUCGCUCAAAACAAAACAAAGAGGAAGAGGCUGAAAAGAAAACAGCGUUGAAAAAUGAGACCGAGAGUAGUAAAACACUGGGAAUACCCAAGUUCUUCCUACAAUAGAAACUGUGUUUUUUCAUAAAGAGUGACAGACACUAGUGUAUAUCUAUAUGUACAUUAUUUUUUUUGGCUGUAUGUAUGUUUUUGUGUAAUUAAAUUUAUUGCCAGUGC
rnacentral:misc_RNA from 1 species